rnacentral:lncRNA from 1 species
AUGAAAUUUUCACAGGGGAGGAGGAGCAGCAACAUUUUGCCCAAGUUAAGGUUACACUGGCAAUAUACCAAGCAGCCCGAAGCACUUAAUUUUCAUGAGAGAUCUGAUUACAGCAGCCUGUAUUUGAGUACAGAAAUAUGUCCUGCAGAAUCUGCAGCCCCAGUGCUGCUUCCAAGAUGGGAAAGAACGAAGAACAAAGAUGAUGCAACUUAUUUAAAGAAGGCUUGGGAGAGCGAGACAAAGAAUUCAGAUCUGAUAUCCAAGCCACUGCCUUAAAUUUUCUGUCAAUACCCUUUCAACUUCAUGCUAUGCAAUAAACAUUCAAGCUGGGCAUAAAUACA